GAGGGUAUAGCUCCCAAGUGGUAGAGCUGCAUGCUUAGCAUGCAUGAGGUUCUGGGUUCAAUCCCCAGCACCUCCU
rnacentral:tRNA from 1 species